rnacentral:ncRNA from 1 species
AAAAAAAACGAAGUGAAUUGAAGUAUCUUAUUAGCUUCAGGAAAAUAAAUCAAACGAGAUUCUAUUAGUAGUGUGAAUGAAAAUAGAUAUAGGCUUAAAGUAAAAUGGAUUAAUCUGUUUGAAUAUAGGGGAACCUUCCUCUAAGCCUUAAUAUAAUAUACAAGAAAUAGAGAAUAGUACUGUGAAGGAAGUAUGUAAAAUAGUAGUCUUAUAAGCAGCUCAAGGUAAGUUUAAUAAACAUAUGAGAGCGUACCUUUUGUAUAAUGGGUCAGCAAGUUCUAGUUAGAUGCAAGCAAGUAGUGAUUCGUGGUGAUAUAGUAAAUAAGAUGGUAAUAGUGAAUAACCUAAAUACACAAAACAUAAUAUAAAUACACAAAAAAGAAUCAAUUUGCCUAGAUAAUCCAAUUAUUAAGUAAUGAAUUAGUAUCUAAUUAGAGACCCGAAGAGUAGUGAUCUUACCAUGGUCAGGCUUAUAAAAGGCCGAAUGGGUUAUCGUUGUAAAGAUAUCCAAAGAACUGUGGUAAGUUAGUGAAAGACAAUCCUGACUACUAUA